rnacentral:piRNA from 1 species
UNGUGACCUCACUCCCUUCUACUAGGCUC